GUUUGAACCGCAUGGUUCAGACAUAAAAGGUGGCUUCGGCUACCACUUACAGAUGGACCCGCGGCGCAUUAGCUAGUUGGUGAGGUAACGGCUCACCAAGGCGACGAUGCGUAGCCGACCUGAGAGGGUGAUCGGCCACACUGGGACUGAGACACGGCCCAGACUCCUACGGGAGGCAGCAGUAGGGAAUCUUCCGCAAUGGACGAAAGUCUGACGGAGCAACGCCGCGUGAGUGAUGAAGGUUUUCGGAUCGUAAAGCUCUGUUGUUAGGGAAGAACAAGUGCCGUUCAAAUAGGGCGGCACCUUGACGGUACCUAACCAGAAAGCCACGGCUAACUACGUGCCAGCAGCCGCGGUAAUACGUAGGUGGCAAGCGUUGUCCGGAAUUAUUGGGCGUAAAGGGCUCGCAGGCGGUUUCUUAAGUCUGAUGUGAAAGCCCCCGGCUCAACCGGGGAGGGUCAUUGGAAACUGGGGAACUUGAGUGCAGAAGAGGAGAGUGGAAUUCCACGUGUAGCGGUGAAAUGCGUAGAGAUGUGGAGGAACACCAGUGGCGAAGGCGACUCUCUGG
rnacentral:rRNA from 1 species